rnacentral:rRNA from 1 species
GGGAGGCAGCAGUGGGGAAUAUUGGGCAAUGGGCGAAAGCCUGACCCAGCCAUGCCGCGUGAGUGAUGAAGGCCUUCGGGUCGUAAAGCUCUGUGGGGAGGGACGAAACAGCCUGGUGAUAAUACCGCCGGGCCUUGACGGUACCUCCUUAGCAAGCACCGGCUAACUCCGUGCCAGCAGCCGCGGUAAUACGGAGGGUGCAAACGUUGCUCGGAAUCAUUGGGCGUAAAGCGCACGUAGGCGGUCCGGUAUGUCGGGAGUGAAAUCCCUCGGCUCAACCGAGGAAGUGCUUUCGAAACUACCGGACUCGAGUAUGGAAGAGGGUCGCGGAAUUCCCGGUGUAGAGGUGAAAUUCGUAGAUAUCGGGAGGAACACCAGCGGCGAAGGCGGCGACCUGGGCCAAUACUGACGCUGAGGUGCGAAAGCGUGGGGAGCAAACAGGAUUAGAUACCCGUGUAC